GGCUGGAGGACCUGCCCCGCCGGCUGACACUCCCACAGCAAGGCGGGCCCGCCAAGGAAGCACUCCACAUCCGCUAGGGUUGGGGUAUGACCCCCAGUGACAGACCAGGAAAUGGAGGUUUCAGGAGCUCAAGAGCUCGUCUAAGAACAUGGAGCUCAUCAGGAGGUAAGCCACACUCAGACGUGGGCCUGCUCGAUGCUCAAACCCCUACUGCUGACACCCCCCACCCCCC
rnacentral:lncRNA from 1 species